CGAUACAUGUGACCGCUGCACAGACCGGAGCUAUCAGUACGUUCUGUUACUGCGUGAGGUUUAGACGUGCGAGGAAACGUUUCGGAGCAGUAUCUGUUCGAUUAAACAAUCGCGACAGAUUGUCCGUUGAUACAAAUCUCCGGAGAACAAUAUUUCCGGUGAAGUCUCAAUUGGUCGCGGUUACCGCAAACGGAAGGAAGCAAAGAAUGGGAAGCUACGACGAAAUGCGAACAAUUCGUUGAAUGCGAACGUACUCUGAUCGUCCAGGAUACCGACGUCGGUGCUGACGUUGACGACGCUGUCCUGUCGUUUCAGGAAGUGAAACGCGAGAAACAACAUUGUCGGCGGAGUCAAGUUAUUGGAAACUUUUCCAACAAGGGACAAACGCUGCAGCGUGAACGCUACAGUGAUAGCGACACCGGUACCACGGGGUGGACUGAAGUGGUUACGAACGCCGAUCAAGCUCUUAUACCUUGCGUUGGAGCGCAAGCGCUCAUCGAACUCCACCGCCUAGGGAUGGGCUGUUCUUCGAUGAAAAGUCCUGUAACCUAUCUCUGGGUGACGUGGGUCAACGUGUUAAAGAAGAGCCAUGGUAUAAUAGAGAAUAAAUCCUUGGCCCAGGGCAAACCCGUGACAGCGUUACAUUAAACUUCACCUGUAAGAAAUAACCCACGAGAAACGUCCCUAACGCUGCUGAAGGCGAGUUGAACGAGGUUUGGAGUACCCGUCCUCGAUGGCUUGUAUAACGACGAGAGGGCUAGUUAUUACAAUCAUCGCGCCCCUGUUUGAGUAGCGCUGGGAAAAGGAUAACACAGUUCAGCGGUCCUCUCAGACCUAAGAGGUUAUAGGCUUUAAGGUCUCGGUACUCUAGUGUGCUACGUGCGGAACUUAGUCACUAAUUGCUACAAUACAUACUCGUAUGAUCGUCACAUAAUUGCCGUACGAUGAGGGUCUCGAUAUUGGACAUUCUACCUUUAGGCUUCAUCUAUUCGCUUGCUUAUUAAAACAGUCGACGUGCGCACUCUUACUGUAACUAUUGAGUUGUUUGCAAUGUAAUUUUAUUCUUUGUUCGUAAAAAUAAAAUAGUUUCUUCAU